UCCAUUUUGGUUCCGCCUUCCAGAGUUCCAGGCUCCAGCCACCGAGCCAUCUCUCCUUUCAGUCUGCCUGAGCCACCUCCUCUGCCACCGAGUCACCUUCACUGCAAGUCUAUAUCUCUGCGACUCCUUCAAGGCUUCAAUCCCUGAAUCUUAGACAAAAAGAAAAAGAGGAAGAGGAGGAGGGAGAAGAAGAAGAAGAGUUAGACGGGAACAACUUGAUGCUCGAUUCGAACAGAAACGAUCCCAGGGGUAUUGUUCCUGCUGCAGUUUGGGGUUUUGAGUGAUAUUGGUCUUAUUUUCCGCGAAAGCAAGAGAAGUUGUGUGCAAAAGGCAAUUUCAACCUUAUUCAUCACAAUCAAUCUCAGCAAAAGCUUGUUCCGAAGUUCAGGCUCUGUUACUAAUCUGGUAAAACAAGAUGAUGAUAAUGGGUGUGUAGCUUUGGUGGUGGGAGUACUAGGUAAUUGAACUUUCAAUCCAUCUCUGAAAUGGCUGUUGGUUGUAUAUUGGGAGCUAGCUAGGUGCCUGCUACUUUGAGAACAACAGAACACUGUCCUGUUUGCAGCGUCAACAACACCAUCAAUUCUGC